UACAGAGGUCUCAAGCGUUGUUCGGAUUCAUUGGGCGUAAAGAGCUCGUAGGUGGCUUGUCACGUCGGGUGUGAAAGCUUGGGGCUUAACUCCAGGUCUGCAUUCGAUACGGGCUGGCUAGAGGUAGGUAGGGGAGAACGGAAUUCCUGGUGUAGCGGUGAAAUGCGCAGAUAUCAGGAGGAACACCGGUGGCGAAGGCGGUUCUCUGGGCCUUACCUGACGCUGAGGAGCGAAAGCGUGGGGAGCGAACAGG
rnacentral:rRNA from 1 species